rnacentral:rRNA from 1 species
GAUGAACGCUAGCGGGAGGCUUAAUACAUGCAAGUCGGACGGUAACAUGAGACUUCGGUUUUGAUGACGAGUGGCGGACGGGUGAGUAACGCGUACACAACCUACCUUUAAGAGGUGAAUACCCUUUGGAAACGAAGAAUAAUACACCAUAGUAUUAACUGAUCUAUAAUUGGUUAAUUAAAGUUUCGGCGCUUAAAGAUGGGUGUGCGUACUAUUAGCUAGUUGGUAAGGUAACGGCUUACCAAGGCGACGAUAGUUAGGGGGCGUGAGAGCGUGAACCCCCACACGGGUACUGAGACACGGACCCGACUCCUACGGGAGGCAGCAGUAAGGAAUAUUGGACAAUGGAGGCAACUCUGAUCCAGCCAUCCCGCGUGAAGGAUGACUGCCCUAUGGGUUGUAAACUUCUUUUAGAUAGGAAGAAAUGCAUUGAUUUAUCAGUGUUUGACGGUACUAUCAGAAUAAGCACCGGCUAACUCCG